AUGCCUUAAACUUAUGAGUAAGGAAAAUAAUGAUUCAGGGUGAUGCCCGAGUCCUCACUGCUAAUGUGAGACAAAUUUUUGAGCAGGUAAAGGUUGCCCCUAAGGCAACCCACCUACUUUGUGGGAUGCCUGGGUGAAGCGAUCUGCCCA
ensembl:snRNA U12 U12 minor spliceosomal RNA